UAGGGAAUCUUCCGCAAUGGGCGAAAGCUUGACGGAGCAACGCCGCGUGAGUGAUGAAGGUCUUCGGAUCGUAAAACUCUGUUAUUAGGGAAGAACAAAUGUGUAAGUAACUAUGCACGUCUUGACGGUACCUAAUCAGAAAGCCACGGCUAACUACGUGCCAGCAGCCGCGGUAAUACGUAGGUGGCAAGCGUUAUCCGGAAUUAUUGGGCGUAAAGCGCGCGUAGGCGGUUUUUUAAGUCUGAUGUGAAAGCCCACGGCUCAACCGUGGAGGGUCAUUGGAAACUGGAAAACUUGAGUGCAGAAGAGGAAGGUGGAAUUCCAGGUGUAGCGGUGAAAUGCGCAGAGAUAUGGAGGAACACCGGUGGCGAAGGCGACUUUCUGGUCUGUAACUGACGCUGAUGUGCGAAAGCGUGGGGAUCAAACAGG
rnacentral:rRNA from 1 species